UUUCCUUAGUUGUACCCUCUAUUUAUACAGGUUAUUCAUAUUGAAAUUAAAUAUAUUUUACAUCAGAAAUCUGUUAGGUUCCCCUGCUAGCCACUGUCGCCCAAAGCCUGCUUUAGGGGGUUUACACUUUUGAUUUCUAAUUAAAUACUCUGUGCCAAUGGCAUAAAAAAGUUCAAAAUCAACAAACAUUUUAUUAAGUGUUUUAUACUUUCUCAACUGUUCAGUUAUUCCCUAUCCCAAGACCCCCAAUAUAGCUGUAGAAAGACCUGAUAGUUUAAAAAAAAAAAUCCAGGUAUUCUUUAGGUUAUUGGGUUAGGUCAAGGCAUUCUACGCAUAUUCAGCUAUUCUUGGGGGAAAUGUAAAUUGAGACUCUACUUCAACUUUCAUUCCAACAUCCAUUUGUUGUGAUGUCAGGAGACCACAGUGCAGACCACACUCAUGAUUAUCUCAUCACUGGGUAUACUCCCUCUAACCACAAGGCCUCAGUCAGGUCCCCAUGUGUCCUUCAUCCAAGAAAGAUGGAAUCAUAUGCAAUACAAAACACUUUUAGGAUUUGUACAUUUAAAGAUUACAUGCAUGUUCUAGCCAAGGAGUUAAUUAAAUCUUGAUUAAUCUAGUGUUUAUCCUUCAUUUAUUUCAAAGCCAUUCCUGUCUCCUCCCAUCAACCUCAAAUGAAUGGGAUCCAACGGUAAACAUCCAUUCAACACCAAUGACUAACACAAACACAUAUUUUCCCACAAAUGCCAUGACAUGGCAACCUGUCUCUAAUUUUCCCAGUAUUGUUCAUAAAAUCUCUUAGCCAAAUCCUGUAUUGCUACAUAUACCUCAGAGGGCUUCCAUCUGAGUCAAACACCAACCCUUCUCUUCUUUUUUUCCUCUGAGCUCAUCAGCCCUCCUCAACCUGCCCUCCUCUCUCUCUCUCGUGGAAGGAGUGCCCUUCCAACAUCUCGGUGUCAGUGACAAAGGUUGGCCAGAGCCUCAAACCUCACAAAGACACAGAGGUUGGUUGGCCAUAACUUCCUGGAUCCCCCUCUGGACUAAAUAAGUGGCUAUGGACCAGCAAAGUUAACAGGUUGGUCUACCAAGAACAUUUAUGAUUGG